GACGAACGCUGGCGGCGUGCUUAACACAUGCAAGUCGAACGGAAAGGCCCUGCUUUUGUGGGGUGCUCGAGUGGCGAACGGGUGAGUAACACGUGAGUAACCUGCCCUUGACUUUGGGAUAACUUCAGGUAACUGGGGCUAAUACCGGCUAGGAGCUCCUGCUGCAUGGUGGGGGUUGGAAAGUUUCGGCGGUUGGGGAUGGACUCGCGGCUUAUCAGCUUGUUGGUGGGGUAGUGGCUUACCAAGGCUUUGACGGGUAGCCGGCCUGAGAGGGUGACCGGCGACCUGGGGACUGAGAGACGGCCCAGACUCCUACGGGAGGCAGCAGGGGGGAAUAUUGCACAAUGGGCGGAAGCCUGAUGCAGCAACGCCGCGUGCGGGAUGACGGCCUUCGGGUUGUAAACCGCUUUCGCCUGUGACGAAGCGUGAGUGACGGUAAUGGGUAAAGAAGCACCGGCUAACUACGUG
rnacentral:rRNA from 1 species